GAUGAACGCUGGCGGCGUGCCUAAUACAUGCAAGUCGAACGAUGAAGCUAGAGCUUGCUCUGGUGGAUUAGUGGCGAACGGGUGAGUAACACGUGAGUAACCUGCCCCGAACUCUGGGAUAACUGCUGGAAGCGGUAGCUAAUACCGGAUAUGACCAAUGAAGGCAUCUUCUGUUGGUGGAAAGAAUUUCGGUUCGGGAUGGACUCGCGGCCUAUCAGCUUGUUGGUGAGGUAACGGCUCACCAAGGCGACGACGGGUAGCCGGCCUGAGAGGGUGAUCAGCCACACUGGGACUGAGACACGGCCCAGACUCCUACGGGAGGCAGCAGUGGGGAAUAUUGCACAAUGGGCGCAAGCCUGAUUCAGCAACGCCGCGUGAGGGAUGACGGCCUUCGGGUUGUAAACCUCCUUUAGUAGGGAAGAAGCGAAAGUGACGGUACCUGCAGAAAAAGCACCGGCUAACUACGUGCCAGCAGCCGCCGUAA
rnacentral:rRNA from 1 species